rnacentral:ncRNA from 1 species
AGGAGCACGGCUGGGUAGCUAAGUACGGAAGGGAUAAGCGCUGAAAGCAUCUAAGCGUGAAGCCCCCCUCAAGAUGAGAUUUCCCAAUUCGUAAGACCCCUUGAAGACGACGAGGUAGAUAGGUUGGAGGUGGAAGUGCAGCAAUGCAUGGAGCUGACCAAUACUAAUCGGUCGAGGGCUUAUCCUA